rnacentral:rRNA from 1 species
CGUACCCUUCGGUUCGGAAUAACUCAGGGAAACUUGAGCUAAUACCGGAUACGCCCUUUUGGGGAAAGGUUUACUGCCGAAGGAUCGGCCCGCGUCUGAUUAGCUUGUUGGUGGGGUAACGGCCUACCAAGGCGACGAUCAGUAGCUGGUCUGAGAGGAUGAUCAGCCACACUGGGACUGAGACACGGCCCAGACUCCUACGGGAGGCAGCAGUGGGGAAUAUUGGACAAUGGGCGCAAGCCUGAUCCAGCCAUGCCGCGUGAGUGAUGAAGGCCUUAGGGUUGUAAAGCUCUUUUGUCCGGGACGAUAAUGACGGUACCGGAAGAAUAAGCCCCGGCUAACUUCGUGCCAGCAGCCGCGGUAAUACGAAGGGGGCUAGCGUUGCUCGGAAUCACUGGGCGUAAAGGGCGCGUAGGCGGCCGAUUAAGUCGGGGGUGAAAGCCUGUGGCUCAACCACAGAAUUGCCUUCGAUACUGGUUGGCUUGAGGCCGGAAGAGGACAGCGGAACUGCGAGU